AGGUUCUGCCAAUGAGCAGCUGUCUGAGCUCUAUAAAAGCUGACUGGUGGUGCAGUAGGGCUUGAUACCUUGGGAAGGUGCUUGUUGUUAUGGUCUGGGAUGCUGCUAGGUGGCUCUUGGUCAAGGUACUGUGUGUGACUGGUCUUGUGAAAUUCAGAUGCCAGCAAUUGGCUUGGAUGAGCAGCAGUACUCACUCAGUGUAGCCAAAGCCGAGGAAUACAAUUGCUCUAUCCUUCCUAAUUGAAAUGGAAAAGAUGCUGACAUAUCAGCCCAUCAAAAAUAUUGCAAGCUUAUCUCUUAUUAAUUCACAUUUGGAGAUGCACCCUGGAACGUGAAUAAAAAUCUGAAUGAGAUUGUUUGAGAUCCUCUGAGUGUGAAAAUGAAUGGAAACUAAGUGUAAUGUUGCAUACAACUGAUCUGUGUAUCAGCUGAGUCCAGAGAGCUUCUCCAAUGUGAAAUUGGGUUGGUAGCACAUGGGCUCUGAAGAGCUGUGGAGUGGAACUCCAGCUGGGCAGCUGCUGAUCCUAGAAAGGCAGGUCCUUGAGCAUUAAACGGAGGAAGCCCCAAGAUA